UUAUAAAUAUACAUAGUAGCCUAAAUUAUAUUGUAUAAAAUUUCAUUGAGCUUUGGCAAGCAUGCGAUAUUACAAAUUUUUAAUAAUUCCGGUCGUGCGACAUUCGGGUAUGAGUAACGAGAACGGAUUCGGCUUUUUAUCCGGUCAAGGACUGUCAACUAGGCACCAGGAAUAAAUUCUUCCAGUACAACAACUAAUAAUUUAUGAUAUUAUGCAUCAGUGAUAUAUAAAUUUAAUCAUUAAACUUAUUGCGUCUCUUACCGAAAUUGCCUAAUUAAAAAGGCAACAAAAGUCGUUUCUUCCAUCCACAUAAUAGAUUUUUUUUAUAUGUAAUUUGAAUUGAGUACAUCAUGCUUGACUAUAUAUACCCAAAAGUCACAUUUGUUUUACAGUGAACGUAAUCAUUCUCGAGAUAAGUACAAUAAGUAUUACAAGCACUUUUGUUUUGUCACUUCUGACCGCUAUUGAAUAUCUUAUUUUCUUUUCUUAAGUACCUGAAAUUUUCAUUCAGAUAUAUAAUUUCUACAUAUCUAUGUUGGUUUUUAACCCUGCUGUUAGGUUAAAAAAAACUUACGAAUCUUAGGUUAGAGGACCAUUUGGUCCAUACUGCAGUUUUCAUACAAAAUAACAAUUUAAUCUUAGUCUUUAUAUUUAGUUUGGUUCAAUACUUGCUAAAUAUUAUUAUUUUAUUAUUUAUUCAACACUAGUAAAAUAAAAACUAGGCGUUUUGCAUGUUACAAAGAAAAAAAAAUUGGACCAAAUGGUCCUUAACCAUUACGCUGGCUAGGUCGUGUUGUCCGGAUGGACGAAAACACUCCAGGUCUGAAAGUAUUCAGAGCAGUAACCGCCGGGGGAAGCAGAGGAAGAGGAAGACCUCGACUCCGUUGGAAGGACCAAGUGGAGAAGGACCUGGCUUCGCUUGGAAUAUCCAAUUGGCGCCACGUAGCGAAAAGAAGAAACGACUGGCGCGCGGUUGUUAACUCAGCUAUAAUCGCGUAAGCGGUGUCUACUCCAAUUAAGAAGAAGAAGAAAAUAUCAUUCAGUAAAUUGGUAGGGCUUAUAAAUGUUUAAAGUGAACUAGUGACGACAGCCGGAACGGACCCGGACAACAAAAUAGUAAAUAAUUCGACUAUUUUGUUGUUGUAGUGGAAUAAAACAUUCCUGAAGUAGUUUCGAGGCAUGAGGCCGAGUUGCCAGUCCUUGGUUGGUUAAAAAUACGGGUCCGUUCCGGUUACUAUGAAGAAACAAGAUUUGGUAUAACUCUGUUUUCUUUAAGCUGUGUAGGAAGUUGGGAGUAAAGGUGAUAUGUUUCUAGUCGAAUUAUUCUAUAACCUUUUAAGGUACUAUAUGCAGCACUUUAUAUGGUAUUUUUAUAUUCGGCAUGUGCUGAAAUACUGCUACGCAUAUAAAUUAAAUAAAAAAUUGGACAGUAAUUAAGAAACAUCGGAACGUGUUAAUUACAUCAACAAACAAAACACAAUAAAAUAAAUCUGUAUUGAAGUAGAGUGCACCCCAAAGUCAUUGCAUCUUUGUGUUUUUAAGUACAGGUUAUACUUUUAGAAUAGGUUGCUUACAUAUAUGCAUAGGUAGUAGUCAUAGUAAGAUUUUCAGGUGAAAAGCUUUGUAAGCACAAAUUUUCACAUUCAUACUGUAUUCAAAAUAUAACUAAUCGAACGAACACUAGAUAAGCUUAUCAACAUUUCAUAGAUAAUCGGAAUGGUUUUUUAAUAGUGUGUUUAUAUAACUUUCUCAGUAAAACAAAUAUAUUUCGCAUACCUAAACUUAUCUCUAAAACCUCUACUUUAAUUCAAAAUUGAGCAUUACUGAAUUUUAAAAAAAUACAUAGGCAAUUUAUUUAGCACUGCCCGUUUCAUCAAAAAAAAAUCUCCAUCACUCAAAUCAGUGUUAUAGUUUACUUCUGAAAAGUAUAGGGUGAGCCAUAUAAAAUUUUAAAUUUUGAAGAUAGGGCGUAAAAGAUUGAGUGUAGCGUUUGCUGUAUGGCACGUAGCGCCGUCCUGCUGGAACCAAAUGUUGUCCAAGUCUUCCUCUUCAAUUUGCUUGACCAAAAUCCGCACCAUACAGUGAUUCGUCCUGGGUGCAUUGGCUUCUCGACGGUUACGUGCGGGGUUUCUGUGCCCCAAAUGCGACAAUUCUGCUUGUUAACUAACCAUCGAGGUGGAAAUGAGCCUUGUCCGAAAAGAUGAUUUUUCGGUAAAAUUGACCAUCCUCGGUCAAACGAUCUUCUGCCCAAUCUGCGAACUGUAGAUUAGUGAAUAGCGACCCAUUUCGUAAAUUUUAGACUUUUACUGAAUGGUAUUUGACGUUUUCAAUGUCAAAAUAUAGAUAAUUCAAAUUUGAAACGUUAGAUAGCUCACCCUAUAUUAAACUAAUAAAAUAUAACGCAUUUGGUCUUAUUGAUAAUUUAGUGGCUUUGUAGUUUGCUGACUUAAGAGGUUAGGGGUAGUCAGAGGCACGAAAAAAUGAGAGUUUUCAGUAUUUUUUUUUUUUUGCCACUAAGUCAUGUUAUUUUACAAAAGUAGUAAUAUGGCAUUAUUAUAGGAUGUGUUCACUUGAAGCCACAAAAAUUUCAAAACAAAAAAAUUUAAUUUCCAAAGUUAUAGUUGUUCGUGUUAACCCUGUUCCAAAAAAAGGUACUUCCUGUGACAAGCAUAAGUCCUUGGAGAUUCAUCUAAAUACAAUCGGACAAAAAAAAAGUUUUAUAAAUAGAUAAUCCCGGGCCUGAUUUUUUUUUUUUUUUUUUAAAUUAACAAAAUGGCGGCCUCCGGAAAUUUUCGAAAAGCUGUAUAAAUUUCAUUAAAAUCUACUGAACGGGUUUCGAGUUACAGUUGUCACUGAUUCAAAAAACAUAGUUUUGAGAAAAACGCGUUUAAAGUUUCACACUAGCGCUUUGAAGUACCCGAGCUCUCUUUCUUAUUUCUCGAAUAACUCAAAAACUAAUUAUCGUAUCAACGUGGAAUUUUCAGGGAAUAUUUUUAAGAUAUUACACUUAACGAAAAUGCAAAAAAAUUAAAUAAAUAAAAAUUAAAUACAUACAUAUAUGUAUAUACAUACAUAUGUAUACAUAUACAAGUAUAUGCAUAUAUAUAUUGUACGUUCAUUUACACAUUUAUUCGUACAUUUAUCAGUAUGAUUCUCUCAUGUUUUGAAGAUUGGCACGUGAGUGGAAUAACUACUUUUCACACUGUCAGCUGUUCUUUUCUUUCUGAUGCUAUUGUUACCUACACUUAUGCCAACAUGUUUUCCAAUCCUCGAAAAAGUUGUUAAAGUGCAAAAAGGUUUCAAUGCGCGUAGCGUUUAAUGCCUUAAAUUGAGUUUGCUGAAUUGCCAGAAGUUACAGGGAGCUAAAUCAGGCGGAUACGGUGGUUGUGAAGAAUCAAUCCUGCAUACGACGGUGCAAAGGACGAUUCUCAAAAACCAAUUCCUUUAUUUUAUUGACGUGUUGAUCAUCAGUUAAUGUGGAUGACCGUCCUAGACGAGGUUCAUGGUCAACUCGUUUUCUAUCCUGUUUGGAUAAGUAGGAGUUAAACCUGCUACAGUAUCCAGAACGAAACUGCGCGUCACUUAUGUUUCUUGCAGAAACUCGAACUCUUUGCCUGCGAUGGGUGGUGGCUUGACUCCGAGUACUUCAUACUGGAAGGGAGUCGGUGAAGGUGAUGGAGUGUUAAGUUCCGUGCAGAGAAGAAGCAAAAAAGGUCGUAGAGAUAGCCGUUUAUAUUAGAAUUUUCUCCUCGAAACAGUAAGGAUGAUUAAUGACCGCUCAGGUAGUUCAUGGUCCACCUCUUCAGUCCUGGGGAGAGUAUAGUUUGUUCCAUGUCCUGCAAUAGCGUUGUGCCACUGACUGUGUCAAAGGCUAUUAACACGUCCAACACUACGAUAAUCGUCCUCUCACAGGGUGGUUUCUGGUUAAGGCCACGAACUAUCUGAGCUCUAGUGGUACUGUGCCCUUUUCGGAAUCCAUGUUUGUGGUUUGAUAGUUAUCGAACGAUAAGAUAAGUUGGCGGGUUUCCUACGUUUCAGUUGUGGGACCACACUUCCGACUUUCCGAACUAUGUGCACGUUGCAGCCGUAGAUGCUAAGGUGGCAGUGCGUUAGCAUCAUGGGGCCACGUACGUUGUGAUCCACUCCCUGUGUAUCUUAAGGACUGAACGGGGUUUAAGAUGGCUCCAAAAUCGUCCGGACUUGGGUUGGACUCAAUACCAGCACGAGUCAGGAGGAUACGGAGCAACUCAAGUUACAGCUCGCAAGGACGGACGGGCAGACAGACAGUCAAGCGGAACCGGUUUUCAGUCGAUCGAAGAGAUAAAACCAAAUUCCCUGAAGGAGCUAAAGCCCAUCUCAAAAAGUACUUAUAAAAAGUGUUUCGAGGACUCGAAAAAUCGUUUGCAUCUGGUGGAGAUUACUUUGAAUUAAAUAUUUAAAGUUUUAUUUACCAUUUCCGUUUUUUUUUUCACAAUACAUAAAUACAAUGAAACUGAAGGUUCCGAAAUAUUUAAAUUGAUUAAUAUUAGCAAACUCCCAACUGCAAGUGCUAAUCUCAAAUUUAAUACGUGUUUAAUAUUAUUUGAAAAUUUUUAAAUUAAAUAUAGUUAUAUUUAUAUUAACUACUUCAAUGCGAGACAAAAACUUCUUACUUUCAUCCAAAACAUGAAAUUUGAUCGACCAAAAAACAACUACUGCCCAAUAAAAUCAAGUUUUUUAAGCUUUGCUUUUUAACUCAGUGUUGGUCAGCUGUGCUGCAAUCAGGGGUCCCUAUCGUGGAUUGCGUACUUCGUAUCGAUUACUACGUAGAAAAGCAAAGGUAUUUGGAGAUUCUUUUGUUAGCAGUUAGCAGCAGCAUUCAUUGUUAUAUGACGCGUCCGAUGUAAUAUGCAUGGUAUUGUUCAUGAAAUUUAUUAUUUAUCCGUAUGGCAGUGAAGUUUGAUGCAUACCUUAGUUUGUUUGUUUGUAAUAACAGUAGAAAUAACUGAAUGUCAUCCAUUGACAGUGGACCUCAAAUUAUCUUGAUAUUCCCCCGAAUAAUGUUUUUAAAAUGUAUGUAAUUUUGUUCAACUACUACUAUUUAUUGCAAUUAUUGAAUUAUAAUGCAAUACGCGUGAACAGACGAACUAUUUUUAUAAUAUCUGUAAAACAAAUUUUAAUCCAAAAGGAACGCAAUCAGUCCGUACUUGUCGCCAUGGUCGGAGUUACUCCAAUAUCGGUUUAUGCAAAUUUCAAGAAUACUUGACACCCGACUGCGUCCGAUCCAAGUUCGUCCUUACUCGUUGUGCAACUGAUUUUAUUUUAUAACAUGAUGACGUUUAUGUACCAACUCCUUCAUCUUUUUCAUCGGGCGAUCUCCAUUUUUUACAAGACGAUGCCCCGCCUCUUGUUUCACAUCUAAACGACCACGGAUGAAAAUGCAAUUGGUGGCCAUUUGGCCGACAUUUUGUUCAAAUAAUAAAUGAUAUUAAAUUUAUCUGCAUAGCAAAAAAAAAACAUAACCCAUUUUAACCAAA